GACGAACGCUGGCGGCAUGCCUAAUACAUGCAAGUCGAGCGAACAGAUGAAGUGCUUGCACUUCUGACGUUAGCGGCGAACGGGUGAGUAACACGUAAGGAAUCUACCUAUAAGCGGGGGAUAACAUUCGGAAACGGGUGCUAAUACCGCAUAAUAUCUUCUUCCGCAUGGAAGAAGAUUGAAAGACGGCUCUGCUGUCACUUAUAGAUGACCUUGCGGUGCAUUAGUUAGUUGGUGGGGUAACGGCCUACCAAGACGAUGAUGCAUAGCCGACCUGAGAGGGUGAGCGGCCACAUUGGGACUGAGACACGGCCCAAACUCCUACGGGAGGCAGCAGUAGGGAAUCUUCCGCAAUGGGCGAAGGCCUGACGGAGCAAUGCCGCGUGAGUGAAGAAGGCCUUCGGGUCGUAAAACUCUGUUAUAAGAGAAGAACAAAUUGUAGAGUAACUGCUACAGUCUUGACGGUAUCUUAUCAGAGAGCCACGGCUAACUACGUGCCAGCCGCCGCCGUAA
rnacentral:rRNA from 1 species